UACGGAGGGUGCAAGCGUUAUCCGGAUUCACUGGGUUUAAAGGGUGCGUAGGUGGGCAGGUAAGUCAGUGGUGAAAUCUCUGGGCUUAACCCGGAAACUGCCGUUGAUACUAUCUGUCUUGAAUGUAGUGGAGGUGAGCGGAAUAUGUCAUGUAGCGGUGAAAUGCUUAGAUAUGACAUAGAACAUCGAUUGCGAAGGCAGCUCGCUACACUAUGAUUGACACUGAGGCACGAAAGCGUGGGGAUCAAACGGG
rnacentral:rRNA from 1 species